AGAGUGAACGCUGGCGGCAGGCCUAACACAUGCAAGUCGAACGGCAGCACAGGGGAGCUUGCUCCCUGGGUGGCGAGUGGCGGACGGGUGAGGAAUGCGUCGGAAUCUGCCUUUUCGUGGGGGAUAACGUAGGGAAACUUACGCUAAUACCGCAUGCGACCCGUUCCGGGAGGAUCGGGGUGAAAGCGGGGGACCUUCGGGCCUCGCGCGGAAAGAUGAGCCGACGCCGGAUUAGCUAGUUGGCGGGUAACGGCCACCAAGGCGACGAUCCGUAGCUGGUCUGAGAGGAUGAUCAGCCACACUGGAACUGAGACACGGUCCAGACUCCUACGGGAGGCAGCGAGUGGGGAAUAUUGGACAAUGGGCGCAAGCCUGAUCCAGCCAUGCCGCGUGAGUGAAGAAGGCCUUCGGUUGUAAAGCUCGUUUGUUAGGGAAAGAAAGACUUACCGGUUAACUAACCGGAGUUACUGAACGGUACCAAAGAAUAAGACACCGGCUAACUUCGUGCAGCAGCCG
rnacentral:rRNA from 1 species